rnacentral:lncRNA from 1 species
ACGUCUCUUCCCUAUAGCUCUCCUUAGGUUUUCCUUGUUUUUCUCUUCUCUUGCCUCUUUUUCUCCAAUUCCAAACGUUUCACCUCACUUCUCUCCUCAUAAAUCAAAAACUUAAUUUCUAUCUUUCUAAUAUUCCACUAAGACCCAACUUAUUACUAACUUACAUUAUUUAUUUUAGUUCUCCAUAAUUCGCCAUUUCCACCCCAAACUCUGUAUUUCCUGUUGUUUUAUUAUUUCAUUUAAAUAAUAAAACAAAAACAUUGUUUAAUCAAUUAAAUAAU